rnacentral:rRNA from 1 species
AGUGAACGCUGGCGGUAGGCCUAACACAUGCAAGUCGAACGGCAGCACAGUAAGAGCUUGCUCUUACGGGUGGCGAGUGGCGGACGGGUGAGGAAUACAUCGGAAUCUACUUUUUCGUGGGGGAUAACGUAGGGAAACUUACGCUAAUACCGCAUACGACCUACGGGUGAAAGCAGGGGAUCUUCGGACCUUGCGCGAUUGAAUGAGCCGAUGUCGGAUUAGCUAGUUGGCGGGGUAAAGGCCCACCAAGGCGACGAUCCGUAGCUGGUCUGAGAGGAUGAUCGCCCACACUGGAACGGAGACGCGGUCCAGACUCCUCAGGGAGGCAGCAGUGGGGAAUAUGGAACAAGGGGCGAAAGCCUGACCGAGCAAUGCCGCGGGGUUGAAGAAGGUCUUCGGAUUGAAAACCCCUUUUGUUGGGAAAGAAAAGCGGAGGAUGAAACCCCGCUUGUCUUGACGGUACCUAAAAAGAAAGACCCGGCUAACUCCGUG